AAUAUAAUUUAAUAUACACAAAAAAAGUUAUUGAAUUUAUCAUAUCUCUGUGGAAUACUCUAUAUAAUAAACCCAAAACUAUUUGAAUACCUCAUCAUACCUCUGAUACAUCAAAUUUAAUUCUAUUCGUCCUUAGCUUUGUUAUUAGUACAUCACACAUGUCCAUUUUAACACUCUUAUUGUUGCUACUCCCUGUUCUAUUCCAUCUACAUGAAUCCUAUUGUAUAUAUCACCACAUCCUACACACCAUUGCAGAUGAUCGUGGAUUCAUCAAAUUUAUAGAUAGAUUAACUUAACUUCGUUUUCAUGAAAUAUAUUAUCCUCUCGUUAAAAUACAUCAAAGAAUAAAUUUAAUUUAUAUAGAAUGUUGUCUAUAAUAUAGACAAUACAACACUCUAUAAUAUACACACCAUGUGUGCAUUGAUUGCAUUUAACACUUUUCCCCGCAUAAGUACGUACCAGAUGAUUCACUUCAGUGGGUACACUCAUUAUCUAGGAAUGUAUUAACUUUUUUCGUAAGUUUUUUUUUCGAUAAUUUAAGAAAUAAGAAGCUCAACAAAUUUAACAUCAACAAUAUUAUUUGUCACCCUUAUUUUUGGGGGUGAAAUGACCACCUACUUUUAAUUUUAAAAUAACAACCUAUAUUAAACAAUUCCAGAAAUAGAUGGAGUAUUAUUUUGAAUACAUUUUAGUGUUGACAUUAUUGAUUUUAAUUAACUUAUUGACGAGAUAUUCUAUUUUUAAGUUUAGGUAGCAGAAAAUAGUGGAACAUCAUUUGUGCGACGUUUUAAUAAUUUAUUUAUGGAAUUUAUAAUACCUGCAAGUUGUUUUAGAGCUACUUGUUUCUUAAAUGUUCGAUAAAACAGAGAUAAUGACAUAAUGUUCGAGAUAAUGAGUUUCUUAUAAAAUGUUGAUAAAUCUAUAUUAUUAUGUUCAGUAUAAGUCUAUCUUAUACAAGUUCCUUUAUGUUGACGGA